GAUGAACGCUGGCGGCGUGCCUAAUACAUGCAAGUCGAGCGAACAGACGAGGAGCUUGUUCCUUCGACGUUAGCGGCGGACGGGUGAGUAACACGUAGGUAACCUACCUAUAAGACUGGGAUAACUUCGGGAAACCGGAGCUAAUACCGGAUAAUAUUUCGAACCGCAUGGUUCGAUAGUGAAAGAUGGCUUUGCUAUCACUUAUAGAGGGACCUGCGCCGUAUUAGCUAGUUGGUAAGGUAACGGCUUACCAAGGCAACGAUACGUAGCCGACCUGAGAGGGUGAUCGGCCACACUGGAACUGAGACACGGUCCAGACUCCUACGGGAGGCAGCAGUAGGGAAUCUUCCGCAAUGGGCGAAAGCCUGACGGAGCAACGCCGCGUGAGUGAUGAAGGUCUUCGGAUCGUAAAACUCUGUUAUUAGGGAAGAACAAACGUGUAAGUAACUGUGCACGUCUUGACGGUACCUAAUCAGAAAGCCACGGCUAACUACGUG
rnacentral:rRNA from 1 species